rnacentral:rRNA from 1 species
CCCCUUUACACAAUGCAAAGUCGAACGGUAACAGGAAGCAAGCUUGCUUCUUUGCUGACGAGUGGCGGACGGGUGAGUAAUGUCUGGGAAACUGCCUGAUGGAGGGGGAUAACUACUGGAAACGGUAGCUAAUACCGCAUAACGUCGCAAGACCAAAGAGGGGGACCUUCGGGCCUCUUGCCAUCGGAUGUGCCCAGAUGGGAUUAGCUAGUAGGUGGGGUAACGGCUCACCUAGGCGACGAUCCCUAGCUGGUCUGAGAGGAUGACCAGCCACACUGGAACUGAGACACGGUCCAGACUCCUACGGGAGGCAGCAGUGGGGAAUAUUGCACAAUGGGCGCAAGCCUGAUGCAGCCAUGCCGCGUGUAUGAAGAAGGCCUUCGGGUUGUAAAGUACUUUCAGCGGGGAGGAAGGGAGUAAAGUUAAUACCUUUGCUCAUUGACGUUACCCGCAGAAGAAGCACCGGCUAACUCCGUGCCAGCAGCCGCGGUAAUACGGAGGGUGCAAGCGUUAAUCGGAAUUACUGGGCGUAAAGCGCACGCAGGCGGUUUGUUAAGUCAGAUGUGAAAUCCCCGGGCUCAACCUGGGAACUGCAUCUGAUACUGGCAAGCUUGAGUCUCGUAGAGGGGGGUAGAAUUUCCAGGUGUAGCGGUGAAAAUGCGUAGAGAUCUGGGA